AUAGAGCCCUUUCAUCUGCUACUUGUGAAUUAUAAUGGCUGCUUUAUCUAUUGAGUGAUUUGAAAAUCAAGUGUAUAAGGCCUCCUGUAUUGUAUUGUGAGAAUGAAAGUGUCAUUCAUAUAGCUUCCAACCCUGUCUCCCAUGAAAGAACGAAACAUCUAGACAUAGACUGUCAUUUGGUUCGUGAUAAGGUGCUAAACUUUGUAUGAUGCUAGACCUUCUUGGUGAUUCGGGCUCUGUAACUGGGGUAGAUGCUGCAAGGCAUCGAUUAUCAGUGUGCUUGUUUAUUGUCAAAUGAGUUGACAGAGAUAGAUGCUGCCAGAAAUUGGCCUUGCAAGGAUGGCGGCAUACCAAAAACAUGGCGAUUUGACCCAUUAACAUCACAAACUAGCGGACUUUUUGUGGCGAAGUUCAGAAAAGUGAUUCUCUUUGAUCUUCUCGUUACAUCUUCAGAGAAAAUAUUUGUUUCAAACUUUCAAUAGCCAAAUAGUUUAGAUGUUCGCCAUGUAUGCUAGAAGGUUUCAUAGAAUAGAUAUUUUGUUAUAUUAUUAUUAUUAUACGGUGAUGCUGGUCCUUAAUAAGUAUUCCCU